GAUGAAGAACGCAGCGAAAUGCGAUAAGUAGUGUGAAUUGCAGACUUUAGUGAAUCAUCGAAUCUUUGAACGCACAUUGCGCCCCUUGGUAUUCCGAGGGGCAUGCCUGUUCGAGCGUCAUUAUAACCCCUCAAGCUCAGCUUGGUGUUGGGGCCUGCUGCACUGGCAGCCCUUAAAAUCAGUGGCGGCGCCAUCUGGCUCUAAGCGUAGUAAUUCUUCUCGCUAUGGAGUCCUGGUGGAUGCUUGCCAUCAACCCCCAAUUUUUCUAUGGUUGACCUCGGAUCAGGUAGGGAUACCCGCUGAACUUAAGCAUAUCAAUAAGCGGAGGA
rnacentral:misc_RNA from 1 species